rnacentral:sRNA from 1 species
CGUCGACUCAGCCUUAGGUACCGGUCAGGCAAAAUGCGGUCCUCCCUGGCUCCGGGAGUCUGGUUCUUCCGGGCCUUCUCCAGGGACAGCUGGUUCCGAGGCCUCAUCCUGCUGCUGACCUUCCUAAUUUACGCCUGCUAUCACAUGUCCAGGAAGCCUAUCAGUAUCGUCAAGAGCCGUCUGCACCAGAACUGCUCGGAGCAGAUCAAACCCAUCAAUGAUACUCACAGUCUCAAUGACACCAUGUGGUGCAGCUGGGCCCCAUUUGACAAGGACAACUAUAAGGAGUUACUAGGGGGCAUGGACAACGCCUUCCUCGUCGCCUAUGCCAUCGGCAUGUUCAUCAGUGGGGUUUUUGGGGAGCGGCUUCCGCUCCGUUACUACCUCUCAGCUGGAAUGCUUCUCAGUGGCCUUUUCACCUCGCUCUUUGGCCUGGGAUAUUUCUGGAACAUCCACGAGCUCUGGUACUUUGUGGUCAUCCAGGUCUGUAAUGGACUCGUCCAGACCACAGGCUGGCCCUCUGUGGUGACCUGUGUUGGCAACUGGUUCGGGAAGGGGAAGCGGGGGUUCAUCAUGGGCAUCUGGAAUUCCCACACAUCUGUGGGCAACAUCCUGGGCUCCCUGAUCGCCGGCAUCUGGGUGAACGGGCAGUGGGGCCUGUCGUUCAUCGUGCCUGGCAUCAUUACUGCCAUCAUGGGCGUCAUCACCUUCCUCUUCCUCAUCGAACACCCAGAAGAUGUGGACUGCGCCCCUCCUCAGCACCACGGUGAGCCAGCUGAGAACCAGGACAACCCUGAGGACCCUGGGAACAGUCCCUGCUCUAUCAGGGAGAGCGGCCUUGAGACUGUGGCCAAAUGCUCCAAGGGGCCAUGCGAAGAGCCUGCUGCCAUCAGCUUCUUUGGGGCGCUCCGGAUCCCAGGCGUGGUCGAGUUCUCUCUGUGUCUGCUGUUUGCCAAGCUGGUCAGUUACACCUUCCUCUACUGGCUGCCCCUCUACAUCGCCAAUGUGGCUCACUUUAGUGCCAAGGAGGCUGGGGACCUGUCUACACUCUUCGAUGUUGGUGGCAUCAUAGAUGUUCCUGUACAACUACAUUGGCCAGGACGGGAUUGCCAGCUCCAUAGUGAUGCUGAUCAUCUGUGGGGGCCUGGUCAAUGGCCCAUACGCGCUCAUCACCACUGCUGUCUCUGCUGACCUGGGGACUCACAAGAGCCUGAAGGGCAACGCCAAAGCCCUGUCCACGGUCACGGCCAUCAUUGACGGCACCGGCUCCAUAGGUGCGGCUCUGGGGCCUCUGCUGGCUGGGCUCAUCUCCCCCACGGGCUGGAACAAUGUCUUCUACAUGCUCAUCUCUGCCGACGUCCUAGCCUGCUUGCUCCUUUGCCGGUUAGUAUACAAAGAGAUCUUGGCCUGGAAGGUGUCCCUGAGCAGAGGCAGCGGGUGAGUCCGGGGAGCUGAAGCUGCCCCUCUACCAACCUCAUUUCUCGUGGGAAUCAGCCCGGUGCUCAGUUUCUCCAAAUGCAGGCUGAGGCUCGACCAGCCCAGACCUGAGGAGCACUGAGCCAGUCCCUGGGUGGCCCUCACCCUGCUAACCUGUCCUCUGUUGUCCCCGUGUAUCUCUAUAGCUCUAGUAUGGUCCUAACCCACCAGUGAUAGUAUUUUCCUCAAGUCCCAUGACUUUUGUGAGUAUUUACUUCGAGUCUGUGACUCGAGUGCCAUUUGAGUGGGGGCUGCAUGCAAAUCCUCUGUCCUGCAGUAUGACUUUUUCCAACUUUCUCUUUCUUCUUGUGGGCCAGUUGUAAAGACUUUCAACCUCAGCAGAGCAUGGUGCUUGGGAAGUGUUUUCCAAGGGGUCUGAGAUGCCACAGAGGUUGGUGGCCUCUUCCCUGAGGGACAGUGUGAGAACUUUGGACAUGCCCUCGGGGACAGAGGAGGCAGAAAUAGGGAAACCAGUUUCCCUCUGAGCUGCGACUGAGCUGCAAGUGCCUCCUGAAGUUCAGAAACCAAGGUCAUCUGGCCCCUCUGCCUGGGGUAUGCAGAAAAAAAGCAACUACCAAUCAAAGUCUCUGAAACAAAUGUGAAUCAAGCAUGGGUGGCUGGCCUGGUGUGCUCUCUGCCUACUGUCUGGUGGUGGUGGAUGUGGUGGUGGCAUCAGCAGGUCAGUGGCUGAGGCUACACAGUGCUGGUGGUCUGAUGGUCGGGCGACCCUCUCCCGCUGGCCGUCCUGAGCAGGAGCCUCGUGCUAACAAGGAGGCCGCUAAUGAGCUGGCCGGAGCUGUGAACCUGGGCUGGAUGGCAAAUGUGAGGAGGAACCCCCUGGGACAUGGUAACCAGCACGCAUCUGGGGACACACUUCCACUUAAGGAAGACACCACCCAGGGGAGAGAAAGUGAGAGCAGGAAGACACACAACACAGGAAGCACGCAGAGCACCUGUCCUGCCCUGCCCUACCCUGGAAGAGGGGAGCAGGGGGCUGGACUGCAUGACCCAAAGUUCCUGUGCCUGUGCUCCUUGGAGCCAGGCCUGAGGGUGGGAAGAGAAGAGCAGCAGAAAGGGAGGAAGAUUUAGUGAGCAACUGCUCUGUGCCUGGAAUUGUGUCUGGCUUUAGACAUGUGAGCUUGCCUCGCAGCAGCUCUCAUUGAAGGUGAGAGACAGAGGCUCAGAGCUCGGGCACAGCCUAACACUGAAACUGGGCCUGGGGGUUGUUUGCUUUUCUCUGGACUGCCACCGCUGUCCCAGGCUGGUCCUGCUCCAUGGGAGGCCUGUGUGUGAGGUGUGCAGUGAUUUAUCAGAGCAGACAGAGCACUGUGCUUGGAAUCCAAAAACCCCUGGACAGUCCUGCUUUCUCCACUCACUCCAUGAGACCUUGGGCAUAGCACUCCAUCAGACCCAGAUUCUCUGAACCGCCACAUCUUUAUGUAUGAAUGGGGAUGCUUAUCCCUGAAUACCUGGCAGAAUUGACCCGAGGCUGAGAUAAGAUGGGAUAUGUGAUAUUGCUUUGUAAAGCUGUCAAAUGUGGCAUGAACAUUGUAAGGUUUUAUUUAAUUUCUUUUUUUUUUUUUUUGAGGCGGAGUUUUGCUCUUAUUGCCCAGGCUGGAGUGCAGUGGUGUGAUCUCAGCUCACUGCAAUCUCCGCCUCCCAGGUUCAAGUGAUUCUCCUGCCUCAGCCUCCCGAGAAGCUGGGACCACAGGCAUGCGCCACCACACCCGGCUAAUUUUGUAUUUUUAGUAGAGACAGGAUUUCUCCAUGUUGGUCAGGCUGGUCUUGAACUCCCGACCUCAGGUGACUCACCCGCCUCGGCCUCCCAAAGUGCUGGGAUUACAGAUGUGAGCCACCGUGCCCGGCCAGGUUUUAAAUAUUAAUCUAGCUUGCUAUUUCCUGCCUGAGAGGUGAAAGGGAGGCCUCAUUACAGAGAACUGAGAUGAAAGCAAUGAUGAAGGGACCCUGGGACCCUGCCUUUCCUCUCCCUACUCAGCAGGAGCUUAUGAAGUCAUCUCACUUUCUCUUCUGUCCCCCCUCUCCUCUUCAUGCAGGUAUAAAGAAAUAUGAGGCCCCAAUUGGAACAGCAGCAUGGAGGGUCCCAGUUGGGUCCCCAACGUGCUCCCCAUGGGCAAGACAAUGGAAACUUCCACAAGUAGGGGAGGCAAACCCUCUUUAUUGAACAUUAGCCAGCCCAGCCCAGACCCAGGGCUGCCUAAGGACACAGAGAUUCUCCAUGGGAAGGGGACUGCCAAGCAUGAGGAAAUAGAAGAUUCAGGGGCCUGAGCUCUGGAAGCUGCAAGCAAAAGGGAUGGGACUAGGGCUGAGUUGUGUCUCCAUUUUGAUAAGGAAAGGAUAUGCUCAGACUCUUGCUUGUUCAGAUUCCAAGACAGAAGGCUUCACAAGGCCAAGGCCUGGAAAAUGUGCAUCUCUCCUUCCCAUGUUAAAUUUUAACCUCUGUAAUCUGCCUGUAUCUAUAGGUGGGCAUCUCACUCCAUCAAAGGAGCCCAGCCUCUCUUUGUCCCUCUAUCCAUGAAACAGUCUUCUCUGUGCAUUUCCCCAAGCUGGGCCCUCUUCUACUCUCCAUUUAGGCCUGUUGAUAACUCCAUUACCCACCCAUCACUGCUGUUCCUCCAGGGCCAGCACUCGGGCGAGGCAGGGGAGCUGCCUUCGGUACAUAAUUUGAAGGGGCACUCCCUCUUGGGCACAUGCUGGCCCUGAGUGCCUCCCUUGCCUCACUCUGAUCCCGGCCCCAUAAUGUCCUCAGUGGAAGGUGACUGGGGGCCGGUGCUGUGGGGAGAGUAGAAAGAGGGGUUGGCAUGACUAAAAAUACCAGUAUGUGUAUUAAGUAUUUUGAGAAUGAAGUGCCAAGGAGUGCCUACUGUAUGCCAGCUCUGCUCUAGGAAUGGAGUAGACAGUGGACACAAGAAGGACUUACGCCCUGAGCACAGGUGCCAACGGUGACAAGACUGGCAAGACGUGAGGGCAUGAAUGGUUCAUUCAGGCAGCUGCUGCAGGUGUGGUCAGCUGGUGCCAUCUGCUGCUCCCUUUUCCACUUUUCUAUGUCCUCCUUCCACCCCAAGUCCCGGAUCACUCGCUGUCUUCUGGCUAGCUCUUGGCAUCUCCAUCUGAGCCUAAAGUUGCCCACUGGCACCAAUAGAUUCUGUUUGACCUGC